GAUUGCACCAGAAGUAGAUAGUCUAACCUUAGGGAGGGCGUUUUACCACGGUGUGCUUCAUGACUGGGGUGAAGUCGUAACAAGGUAACCGUAGGGGAACCUGUGGCUGGAUCACCUCCUU
rnacentral:rRNA from 1 species